rnacentral:rRNA from 1 species
GAGUUUGAUCAUGGCUCAGGACGAACGCUGGCGGCGUGCCUAAUACAUGCAAGUCGAGCGCAGGAAGCCAUCUGAACCCUUCGGGGGGACGACGGUGGAAUGAGCGGCGGACGGGUGAGUAACACGUAAAGAACCUGCCCAUAGGUCUGGGAUAACCACGAGAAAUCGGGGCUAAUACCGGAUGUGUCAUCGGACCGCAUGGUCCGCUGAUGAAAGGCGCUUCGGCGUCGCCCAUGGAUGGCUUUGCGGUGCAUUAGCUAGUUGGUGGGGUAACGGCCCACCAAGGCGACGAUGCAUAGCCGACCUGAGAGGGUGAUCGGCCACACUGGGACUGAGACAUGGCCCAGACUCCUACGGGAGGCAGCAGUAGGGAAUCUUCCACAAUGGACGAAAGUCUGAUGGAGCAACGCCGCGUGAACGAUGAAGGCUUUCGGGUCGUAAAGUUCUGUUGUAAGGGAAGAACAAGUGCCGCAGGCAAUGGCGGCACCUUGACGGUACCUUGCGAGAAAGCCACGGCUAACUACGUGCCAGCAGCCGCGGUAAUACGUAGGUGGCAAGCGUUGUCCGGAAUUAUUGGGCGUAAAGCGCGCGCAGGCGGCCUCUUAAGUCUGAUGUGAAAG